rnacentral:sRNA from 1 species
AUUGGGAUGAGAGAUUGGAUUUCCAUUAGAUCUUCAUUGAUUAUACUAUGGGUAGAUGGGAUCUUAUCUUUGUAUGCAUAACUUGGGACUUACCUUUAGCAUUCUCUUAAAGCUUAGUCAUUCUUGAGAGAUCCCUUGUUACUAAAGCAUAUUCUUU